GGCCUUGUGGUCCAGAGGCAAGAUACUUGCUUUGGGCUAAUUGAUGAUGCGGGCAACUGCAAGUGACCUGGGUUCGAUUCCCAGCAAGGCCC